GUCCAAUCCGACCUGAGGAGUCACAGUUGUGAGCAAGUUCGGUGCCGCGGGCUGGGAUUAGAAUUACUUGUUAUUGGUAAAUAGCCACUAUGGAGACUAAGGACCAGAAGAAACAAAGAAAGAAAAAUAGUGGACCCAAAGCUGCAAAGAAAAAGAAGCGGCAUCUGCAGGAUCUCCAGCUAGGAGACGAAGAAGAUGCCUGGAAGAGAAAUCCCAAAGCUUUUGCAUUUCAGUCUGCUGUGUGGAUGGCUCGAUCCUUUCACAGGACUCAGGAUUUGAAGACAAAAAAGCAUCAUAUUCCAGUGGUUGAUCGAACUCCACUAGAGCCCCCACCAAUAGUGGUAGUGGUGAUGGGGCCUCCAAAGUUGGAAAGAGCACUUUGAUACAAUGCCUCAUUCGGAACUUCACCCGGCAGAAGUUGACCGAGAUCAGAGGCCCUGUGAUGAUCGUGUCAGGUAAAAAGCUCCGACUCACCAUUAUUGAAUGUGGGUGUGACAUUAACAUGAUGAUUGAUCUGGCUGAAGUAGCAGAUCUGGUACUGAUGCUUAUAGAUGCCAGCUUUGGGUUUGAAAUGGAAACGUUUGAGUUUCUAAACAUCUGUCAAGUACAUGGCUUUCCUAAAAUUAUGGGAGUUCUCACCCACCUCGACUUCUUCAAACACAAUAAGCAACUGAAGAAGACAAAGAAGCGAUUAAAACACAGGUUCUGGACAGAAGUUUACCUGGUUGCCAAGCUGUUCUGCCUUUCUGGAAUGGUGCAUGGAGAAUAUCAAAACCAAGAAAUGCACAAUCUGGGCCAUUUUAUUACAGUUAUGAAGUUUAGGCCUCUCACAUGGCAGACUUCUCAUCCUUAUAUCCUGGCAGACAGGGUGGAAGAUUUGACAAACCCAGAGGAUAUCCAAACAAACAUCAGAUGUGACCAGCAGAUGUUACUUUACGGUUAUUUAAGAGGAGCGCACUUGAAAAAUAAAAGCCAAAUUCACAUGCCAGGACGAGGUGGGGCCCACCCAUGAGCUGGUCCAGAGUCUCAUCUCCACCCACUCCACCAUUGAUGCCAAGAUGGCUUCAAGUCGAGUGAUGUUGUUUUCUGAUUCCAAGCCACUUGGGUCAGAGGCUAUAGAUAAUCAAGGGGACGAGUUCUCACUAUGUUGCCCAGGCUGGCCUCGAACUCCUGGGCUCAAGCAAUCCUCCUGCGUUGGCCUCCCAAAGUCCUGGGAUUACAGGUGUAAGCCACUACGGCUGGCCUAUUAUUGCUGUAUUCUAACUUAUUCAUCUCCUAUGUGUCAGAGAUGGCUUUGGAUUCCCCGUUCUGUGUGCUGCUGUCUGGCUCCUGAACCCAGCUGUAGAGGUGUGUCAAUCCCAACUGGUGAAGUACUGAGAGGAAGCUACACAAAAGGCAGCAAAGUAUUAGUAAGUGUGAGUGGUGUCAUUGAGCAAACACGAAGUCGGGCUCAUCCAAGGAUGAGAUUUUGCCAGAGAAAGGACGAGCAGCAAGUCAGGGAGCUUAAGCGUCAGCCUCGAGUUUGACCAGCAACAGGGGUCGGUGUGUCCCUCUGAAUCUGAGAUCUAUGAGGCAGGAGCUGGGGACAGGAUGGCAGGAGCGCCCAUGGCUGCUGCUGUGCAGCCUGCUGAGGUGACCGUUGAAGUUGGUGAGGACCUCCACAUGCACCACAUUCGUGACCAGGAGAUGCCUGAAGCUUUGGAGUUUAGCCUUUCUGCCAAUCCAGAGGCAAGCACAAUAUUCCAGAGGAACUCUCAAACAGAUGCUUUGGAGUUUAACCCUUCUGCCAAUCCAGAGGCAAGCACAAUAUUCCAGAGGAACUCUCAAACAGAUGUUGUAGAAAUAAGAAGAAGCAACUGUACAAACCAUGUAUCUACUGAGCGUUUCAGUCAACAAUACAGCUCGUGUUCGACAAUAUUCCUUGAUGACAGCACAGCCAGCCAGCAUUAUCUUACAAUGACAAUAAUAUCUGUGACCUUGGAGAUACCUCAUCAUAUCACACAAAGAGAUGCAGAUAGAUCUUUGAGCAUACCUGAUGAACAGUUACACUCAUUUGCGGUUUCCACCGUGCACAUUACGAAGAACAGAAAUGGAGGUGGGAGUUUAAAUAACUAUUCCUCCUCCAUUCCAUCGACUCCCAGCACCAGCCAGGAGGACCCUCAGUUCAGUGUUCCUCCCACUGCCAACACACCCACCCCCGUUUGCAAGCGGUCCAUGCGCUGGUCCAACCUGUUUACAUCUGAGAAAGGGAGUCACCCAGACAAAGAGAGGAAAGCCCCGGAGAAUCAUGCUGACACCAUCGGGAGCGGCAGAGCCAUCCCCAUUAAACAGGGCAUGCUCUUAAAGCGAAGUGGGAAAUGGCUGAAGACAUGGAAAAAGAAAUACGUCACCCUGUGUUCCAAUGGCGUGCUCACCUAUUAUUCAAGCUUAGGUGAUUAUAUGAAGAAUAUUCAUAAAAAAGAGAUUGACCUUCGGACAUCUACCAUCAAAGUCCCAGGAAAGUGGCCAUCCCUAGCCACAUCGGCCUGUGCACCCAUCUCCAGCUCUAAAAGCAAUGGCCUAUCCAAGGACAUGGACACCGGGCUGGGUGACUCCAUAUGCUUCAGCCCCAGUAUCUCCAGCACCACCAGCCCCAAGCUCAACCCGCCCCCCUCUCCUCAUGCCAAUAAAAAGAAACACCUAAAGAAGAAAAGCACCAACAACUUUAUGAUUGUGUCUGCCACUGGCCAAACAUGGCACUUUGAAGCCACGACGUAUGAGGAGCGGGAUGCCUGGGUCCAAGCCAUCCAGAGCCAGAUCCUGGCCAGCCUGCAGUCAUGCGAGAGCAGUAAAAGCAAGUCCCAGCUGACCAGCCAGAGCGAGGCCAUGGCCCUGCAGUCGAUCCAAAACAUGCGUGGGAACGCCCACUGUGUGGACUAUGAGACCCAGAAUCCUAAGUGGGCCAGUUUGAACUUGGGAGUCCUCAUGUGUAUUGAAUGCUCAGGAAUCCACCGCAGUCUUGGCACCCGCCUUUCCCGUGUGCGAUCUCUGGAGCUGGAUGACUGGCCAGUUGAGCUCAGGAAGGUUAUGUCAUCUAUUGGCAAUGACCUAGCCAACAGCAUCUGGGAAGGGAGCAGCCAGGGGCAGACAAAACCCUCAGUAAAGUCCACGAGGGAAGAGAAGGAACGGUGGAUCCGUUCCAAAUAUGAGGAGAAGCUCUUUCUGGCCCCACUACCCUGCACUGAGCUGUCCCUGGGCCAGCACCUGCUGCGGGCCACCGCUGAUGAGGACCUGCAGACAGCCAUCCUGCUGCUGGCACAUGGCUCCCGUGAGGAGGUGAACGAGACCUGUGGGGAGGGAGACGGCUGCACGGCGCUCCAUCUGGCCUGCCGCAAGGGGAAUGUGGUCCUGGCACAGCUCCUGAUCUGGUACGGGGUGGACGUCAUGGCCCGAGAUGCCCACGGGAACACAGCGCUGACCUACGCCCGGCAGGCCUCCAGCCAGGAGUGCAUCAACGUGCUUCUGCAGUACGGCUGCCCCGACGAGUGCGUGUAGUAUCUGUUUUAUUUGACUGCAGUCUCCUUGGUGCAAAAACAAAAUGGGAAAAAUAAGGAUAACUCAGAAUUUCAAAAGGAAAUCACAAAUUCAGCUAGUAAUAGCAUUUUCAGUACUUUUCAUAAACUAAGUAAAUACACAAAAUGUUGAUUUUUCUGACCAUAAGACAUAUUUUAUGUCCUUUUGCCAAGGUGGAUGUGUUAGUCUCAGGCCCUCCUGGCCACAUUGCCCAAGUCACACAGGCUUCUGUAUUAUGUAUUUAGAUAAAAUGUGUGAAAAUAUAUUUGAAAAAAAAGUUCAUAAA
rnacentral:lncRNA from 1 species